UAAGGAAUGGCAUAAUGGAAGUGCAAAGAGUUUUGAUCUCUUAGGUAUAGGUUCAAUUCCUAUUUCUUUAG
rnacentral:tRNA from 1 species